rnacentral:rRNA from 1 species
UACGUAGGGUGCAAGCGUUGUCCGGAAUUAUUGGGCGUAAAGAGCUCGUAGGCGGUCUGUUGCGUCGGCUGUGAAAACCCGGGGCUCAACUCCGGGCCUGCUUCCGAUACGGGCAGACUAGAGGUAUGCAGGGGAGAACGGAAUUCCUGGUGUAGCGGUGAAAUGCGCAGAUAUCAGGAGGAACACCGGUGGCGAAGGCGGUUCUCUGGGCAUUACCUGACGCUGAGGAGCGAAAGUGUGGGGAGCGAACAGG